rnacentral:rRNA from 1 species
UGGGGAAUCUUCCGCAAUGGACGAAAGUCUGACGGAGCAACGCCGCGUGAGUGAAGAAGGUUUUCGGAUCGUAAAAACUCUGUCUUUUGGGGGCGAACGUGAGUAUGGUGAACAAUCAUAGUCAGUGACGGUACCAAAGGAGGAAGCCACGGCUAACUACGUGCCAGCAGCCGCGGUAAUACGUAGGUGGCAAGCGUUGUCCGGAAUUAUUGGGCGUAAAGAGCGCGUAGGCGGGAUAGUCAGUCUGUUGUAAAAGUGCGGGGCUCAACCCCGUGAUCGCAAUGGAAACAGCUAUUCUUGAGUGCAGGAGAGGAAAGUGGAAUUCCCAGUGUAGCGGUGAAAUGCGUAGAUAUUGGGAGGAACACCAGUGGCGAAGGCGACUUUCUGGACUGUGUCUGACGCUGAGGCGCGAAAGCCAGGGGAGCGAACGGGAUUAGAUACCCCGGUAGUCCUGGCCGUAAACGAUGGGUACUAGGUGUGGGAGGUAUCGACCCCUUCCGUGCCGGAGUUAANGCAAUAAGUACCCCCGCCUGGGGAGUACGGUCGCAAGACUGAAACUUAAAUGAAUUGACGGGGUCAUAGCUGUUUCCU